rnacentral:rRNA from 1 species
CAGCAGUGGGGAAUAUUGCACAAUCGGGGGAAACCCUGAUGCAGCCAUGCCGCGUGUGUGAAGAAGGCCUUCGGGUUGUAAAGCACUUUCAGUAGGGAGGAAGGUAGUGUAGUUAACACCUGCAUUAUUUGACGUUACCUACAGAAGAAGCACCGGCUAACUCCGUGCCAGCAGCCGCGGUAAUACGGGAGGGUGCGAGCGUUAAUCGGAAUUACGUGGGCGUAAAGCGCAUGCAGGCGGCCUGUUAAGUCAGAUGUGAAAGCCCGGGGCUUAACCUCGGAAUUGCAUUUGAAACUGGCAGGCUAGAGUCUUGUAGAGGGGGGUAGGAAUUUCAGGUGUAGCGGUGAAAUGCGUAGAGAUCUGAAGGAAUACCAGUGGCGAAGGCGGCCCCCUGGACAAAGACUGACGCUCAGAUGCGAAAGCGUGGGGAGCAAACAGGAUUAGAUACCCUGGUAG